rnacentral:lncRNA from 1 species
CCAUAUUUUCUGCUGUCCUGAAAAGGGACGGUAAGAACUAAUUUCUCUAAUACGAGCUGGUAGUGAGUUCCAUUCCUGUGACGCUGUAACUGAGAAUGCUGAGUGGCUAAAGGCACUUUUUCUAAAGGGUACUACACAGUCUCCCCGGGACGAGCCUCUGGUUGUCCGGUUUGUAUUUGACCUCUGAGUGAUACACUGUUGAAGUGGUGGGGGGGCUUUGUUGUGCAAAAUUUUAAAAAUAAGGCAAAGAUUUGCAUACUUUAUUAGGUUGUCCCAGCUCAGAAGUUUAUACUUUCUUAAAAUUAGACAAUGGUGGUAGGUGUUCGACUUCCGGUCCAAGACUUUCAGGGUUCAUUUACAGUGUUUCAAGUGGUUUAAGUGCUGUCUUAUUGGCUUGUGCGAAGCUGGUCAAACAGUAUGUGCAGUGGCGGCGCCAGAAAUAAUUUGUUGCAGUUGCUUAACAGUUGCUGUAUGAAUUCAAGAGGUUGCUGGUCAAAAAAAAAAACCUUGAUCAAAACACCUGAAUUUGGCAGAGGCACGGCCGGGAAGACAUUUUCGGCACGGGUUGGGGUGGUUGCGGUCCCGUACGAGAUAUAAAGACGUAAAGACAUAGAACAAUAUAGAGGAAGAUCUUUAAGAAGGCCAACAUGAAAAUAGCCCAGCGGCAUGUACACAUUCACUGCUAGUCCCGAGCCCUGUACCACGAAGCUCGCUUAGAGGGUUAGCGAGGUAUGUUGAGCUCCAAGCCUGGGUUAGUUGUACCACGAAAGUUGAUCUCUUUUAGCGUCGCUGUAUCACCAUGGUGACUUAUUCUCGCAACCAAACCUGGUCGGGAGCAGUUUUUCGGCUUUGUCUAGCCGGAGAUCGGCUACUUAAAUCGGCGUGCGCAGCUUCCUAGCCCCUCCUCUGAAAAUGGCGUCACCAUUUGUGGGUGUUCCCGUGGACCCCGGCGCACUUCUCCGGAGACAAGGGUUUUACGGGACAGAACCGAUCCCUUGGCAUUGUCUGACGAUAUUCAGAUUUCAGACUUUAUUGUCAUUGUGCAAACAACGAAAUUGGGGUUCUUCAUGAGAGAUACAGAUUCUCAUCAGAGGAUGGUAUUUGAUCGUCCUUUUGGACCUUAUGUAGACAAUGAUUACUGUUGCGCAUUGUGUUUCAGUGACAGAUUGCUAGAGUGGAGGUAGCGCGUCAGUCUUGAAUUUUUGCGCGGGGGGUUCGACUCCCAAGUGACGCGAAUUUAUGUGAAGCUUAAAAAGUCCUAAUUCUCAUGCAUAUGGA